rnacentral:pre_miRNA from 1 species
AGUACAAUUGUUGGGUAGUAUGGUAAUUUUUUUUUUUUUUAUAAGAAACUGCCAAACUGUUUUCCAAAGUGACUGUACCAUUUUACAUUCUCACCAGCAAU